UGACACAGGGAGGUAGUGACAAGAAAUAACAAUACAGGGCUUUCGUCUUGUAAUUGGAAUGAUGGUGAUGUACAACCUCACCAGAGUACCAAUUGGAGGGCAAGUCUGGUGCCAGCAGCCGCGGUAAUUCCAGCUCCAAUAGCGUAUAUUAAACUUGUUGCAGUUAAAAAGCUCGUAGUUGUAUUUCAGCCUCGCGUUUUUUCCCUUUAGUUGGGUCUUUUCGCUGGCUUUUUUUUAACUUUGAGAAAAUUAGAGUGUUUCAAGCAGACUUUUGUCUUGAAUACUUCAGCAUGGAAUAAUAGAGUAGGACCUUGGUUCUAUUUUGUUGGUUUCGAGCCUUGGUAAUGGUUAAUAGGAACGGUUGGGGGCAUUCGUAUUUAACUGUCAGAGGUGAAAUUCUUA
rnacentral:rRNA from 1 species